CCUGAAAUUUACGUUUUUGUUCGCGGGAUAUCCGAAUUAAUCUUUAGCGGAGAAUAUCUCUUUUUUACUGCUGCAUCCUGACCCACUGGAUAAUUCAUUUCGUAACUGAACAAUCCUGCAGCUAUUUUAGCUGUCAAUUUGUGACCGACGAGGACUGUGAAUGAUGUUUUUGGACCCACGAACAUUUGUUGUCAGCACAGCACGUUUUGGAUUGUAAAGAAACAGCAGGGACUCCCUUCAGUUUAUUUAAGGAUUCUGCUUGUGUCAUGGAUAAACGGAGGAAUUAGCAUCAAAACAAGCAGUUACUGUAGCUUCAUGUUGAGGGAGUGGUGUUGGUUCAACAGUCAAGUUGCCAGCCAUGCAGCAUGUUGCCAUCUUAGUCUACCUGGUGUUUAGUCGUCCAAUCAAGCUGGCUGGUAGAAUCUCAAACCUCCCAAUUAUGCACCCUUCCUGCGAUGGAUAACUGAACCUACCGUGGUCACAAGAGGGCAGCAUACUGUCUACGAAUGAGUGAACAAGAUGAUGGUCUGCGUCUCGGCCGAAGUAUUUGGCAUUUAACCCUAACGAACCUGAAUCCUCCAAUUUUAAUCACUGUUAUGGCAAUGUAUUAUGCCAACCACAUUAAUUAAGUCACUUGCAAUUAUAAUUUGUAAAAAGCAUGUUUGCCUCCAUUACAUUGAUUGGUUUGAAAGUUGCCUGCGCCGUUAUACUGCACACUUUUCAUCAGUUGCAAUUGUUUUUGCACAUUCAAAGUUGACAGGAAAAGGAGUUGA